rnacentral:rRNA from 1 species
AUUGAACGCUGGCGGCAUGCCUUACACACGCAAGUCGAACGGCAGCACGGGUGCUUGCACCUGGUGGCGAGUGGCGAACGGGUGAGUAAUACAUCGGAACGUACCUUAUCGUGGGGGAUAACGCAGCGAAAGCUGUGCUAAUACCGCAUACGCCCUGAGGGGGAAAGCGGGGGAUCGCAAGACCUCGCGCGAUUAGAGCGGCUGAUGCCUGAUUAGCUUGUUGGUGGGGUAAAAGCCCACCAAGGCGACGAUCAGUAGCUGGUCUGAGAGGACGAACGGCCAAACUGGGACUGAGACACGGCCCAGACUCCUACGGGAGGCAGCAGUGGGGAAUUUUGGACAAUGGGGGCAACCCUGAUCCAGCAAUGCCGCGUGAGUGAAGAAGGCCUUCGGGUUGUAAAGCUCUUUUGUCAGGGAAGAAACACCGGCUCUAACACAGUCCGGGAAUGACGGUACCUGAAGAAUAAGCACCGGCUAACUACGUGCCAGCAGCCGCGGUAA